rnacentral:rRNA from 1 species
AAUAUUGGACAAUGGUGGCAACUCUGAUCCAGCCAUGCCGCGUGAGUGAUGAAGGCCUUAGGGUUGUAAAGCUCUUCCAGUGGGGAAGAUAAUGACGGUACCUAAGGAGGAAGCCCCGGCUAACGACGUGUCAGCGGCCGCGGUAAUACGUCGGGGGCAAGCGUUGUCCGGAAUUAUUGGGCGUAAAGGGUGCGUAGGCGGCCUUUUAAGUCAGAUGUGAAAGCCCACGGCUUAACCGUGGGACUGCAUUUGAAACUGGAGGGCUUGAGUAUCGGAGAGGGUAGUGGAAUUCCCAGUGUAGCGGUGGAAUGCGUAGAUAUUGGGAGGAACACCAGUGGCGAAGGCGACUACCUGGACGAAAACUGACGCUGAGGCACGAAAGCUAGGGGAGCAAAC